GGCGACUGAUUCGAGCGGUACAGGUAUGUUCUGUCGUUCGAGAUAUGUCUAAUGCUCAGAAAGCGCAACUAGAUUGUCAGUGCUGCUGAGUAUGAUCUGGGUCGGCGACGCAUCACUACAUGCAAUUCUUAACACAUGCAAGUAGCGACGGUAUUGUCCAUUCGGGGGUACACGAGCGACGACAUGGGUGAGUAACACGUGAGUGGCGUACCAUCAGCUGUGAAGAUAAGCUAAGACAGCGUGCGCUAAUUGGGAUACGACUCAGGGAGGACAUGCGAUGCGGUGGAAAGCGCUCUGUGGGAUGGGGAUGAUCUCGCAUCAUAUCAUCUUGAGGUGGGGUCUCGGCAUGGCUAGGAGAGGUAGGGUAUCUGAGAGGAGAAUCAGAUAGACCGCCAUGGGAACGAGGCCCAGACUCGUCUCGUAGGCAACACUACAGUAUAGAAUUCAAUGCAAUAAAGCGAAACGCAACGCAGCGACGUAGGGUGAGGAAGUCUUCCGAUCGUGUUCUCCACUUCUGUCAGACGAUGGAAAGCAGUAACCCAUUGGUAGGGGUCGUACAAACGCAGCCCAGGUUAAUUUCAGCACAGCAGGUAAGGUAAUGGGAACAAGCCUAGUCCUAAUUUAUUGGGCGUAAAGAACAGGUAGGCGAUCCGGUUCGUCAACCCUGAAAUCCCAUGGUUCAACCCCGCCCGGACCAUUGAUAGGGGCAGGCCAGAGUAGAGCAGGGGAGAGGAGAAUUGAAUUCGCAGCGGUGAAAUGAACAGAUAUCAGAAGGGACGGAAGUCCGGAAGGCGGGUCUGCGGUCCGAUACGUUCCUUGAGGAGAGACAGGAAAGGGAGGGGACCAGACUAGAUUCCAUGCUAGUCCAGUCCGUACCCUUUGGGCGGUAUGUUUAGGAUCCCUUCCUCGCCGCCCGUGCCGCAGCUAACGCAUUAAGCACUCCGCCUGGGAAGUACGGCCGCAAGGCUAAAACUCAAAUGAAUUGACGGGG
rnacentral:rRNA from 1 species